rnacentral:rRNA from 1 species
CCUACGGGAGGCAGCAGUGGGGAAUAUUGGGCAAUGGGCGCAAGCCUGACCCAGCAACGCCGCGUGAAGGAUGAAGGCUCUCGGAUUGUUAACUUCUUUCUCUAGGGACGUAGACUGACGGUACCUUGUAUGAAAGCCCCGGCUAACUACGUGCCAGCAGCCGCGGUAAUACGGAGGGGGCAAGCUUUGUCCGGAAUGACGGGGCGUAAAGGGAGUGUAGGCGGCCUUGUAAGUUAGAUGUGAAAUCCUACGGCUUAAGCGUAGAACUGCAUCUAAAACUGUGAGGAUGGAGUGCAGGAGAGGUGAGUGGAAUUCAUAGUGUAGCGGUGGAAUGCGUAGAUAUUAGGAGGAACACCAGAGGCGAAGGCGACUCACUGGACUGUAACUGACGCUGAGGCUCGAAAGCGUGGGGAGCAAACAGGAUUAGAUACCCUAGUAGUC